CUCAUCUUGACUUGUGGGAAACUCCUGAUCAGUUUGGCAAAAGCCCUAAUUAUAUUUCUGAAUUAACAACUAACAAUUAACAAUACUUUAUUCCAUUCAUUUAUUGAAUUUGCAUAAUGCAAUACAGGUAUUAGGAUCAUGAAAGCCAGGGCUUAUUCUGGCAACAGUAGGACAAAGGGAGGAUGAGGAUGAAGAGCAAAGCACCAAAAGAAAGCAGAACGUGCAAAUUCUACACAGCUGGUGACCAAAACAGGUUUGAAGCCAGAGCUCUGGAGCUAUCGAAUGAACCAUACUGCCACUUCAUUUGCCACUUCAAUCGGACCAAGAGUGAGUGAAUUUGUAUGCAGUCUGCAAUGGAUUGGCAGCUCCUCUAGCAGUGGUUUCUGCCUUGUGCCCAGUCCUGCCAAGAUACACUCUUCUUCCCCUCAGCAACCUUGCAUAAUAUUAAAAAUGCCUAGAAAAUGGAUAGAUGUGAUAUGAAUGUUAACAAAAUACUGAUGUUAAUAUCAUUUACAUGCUUAAUUCCUCAGGCUGGGAUUGUCAUCUCAAGAUGGCUCCCCUUUGGAGAUGACUGCCCUGGGCCGACCUUUCCAGGUGGGGAUGCUCUAUGACUGUCGCUCUGACUCGCUCAUUCCAGGUGUCACUCUAUGGGACUUUGAAAACCUCAAGAAAGACCUCAACAUUAAACCCCAGAAGAACACAAAAUUCAAGAUCAUCACAUCAGAUUCUUUGGAUGAGAAAAC